AUUUAAUUUAAAUGUGACCACGAGGGAAUGCUCCGAGUCUGUCACCGGCUGUCAGCCUGGCAUGGGUGUGGAGACAUCUCUUCGGGCGCUGGAGACUUGCUGUUGGACUUCAGUGAGGUGCUCCCUUGGGGGCGACGCUUCAAUAUCCCGAGAUGUGGGCUGAAUGAACACCCUUCAGAGGGGGACAGUGGUUCCUGCAAGUGAAGGGGAAGUGUUACAGCAGCAGGAAGGAGGAAAGAUGACUGUCCCCUCUUUUCAUGUGGCUUUGAUUCAUCUGCAAAUGCUGCAGCUACACUUUUUGUUUUUAAGAGACAGUGUCUUGCUCUGUUGCCCAGCCUGGAAUGCAGUGAUGUGAUCACAGCUCACUGCAGCCUCCACCUCCUUGGCUCAAGUGAUCCUCCUGCCUUGGCUUCCUAAAGUGCUGGGACUAUAGGCUGCAACCACACUUUUUAAUUAGAUGCCUGGUUGCUAAGAGAGAGGCCAAGAUGGCAGGCUGUUGAGAUUAGGAUUGGGGUGAAAAUACAGAGGGAGAGAGAGGGAGGAGGAGAGGAAGAGAGAAUGCUUGUUCCCUGGAGGUUUCAGACAUUUAUGUCUCAGGUUGCAUUCCAAAGUCGGUCUCUCCCUUGGGCCAGAAACAAUGGUUUGGAUAAUCUGGGCCUCUGCUCUCAGCCAGGCUGUGGCUAAAUGAGAUCUAACUCAGUUUACCUGGAGGGUCGUACAGGUGGUAUGGCGAGGGAUGGUCAAUCCGACCAGGUCUUGUAUGCUCAGCUGAGGCCCGUGGUUGAACCAAGCAGUCUCUGAACUGACUUGACUGUAGAACAUUUUUCUUUCUUUUUUUUCUUUUUUAAGUAAAACAUAUUAACAUCUCAUGGAACUCUGUCUGCAGAGCCAGGCUGCUAAGGAAAGAUUCUGAUUGCACCAAAGGGCACCAGGAUUUCCGGUGCUUUACAGAAUGGAAGUGUCAUUGGAUUCCUUUGAAAAUACUAUCUUGCACUGCAGAGCUUGGGAGGUUCACUCUGGGUGUGGGGGGUGGCUCAUUCCUAUUUUCCAUUCCUCUGAGUGGCUUGUAGAUAAAUAAAGGCAUGUCACAAAGUUCCACCAGUAGCCUCAAAGAUGAGUCUCUGCAGUUAGAUAUGAACAGGCAUAUUACAGUGUUUUAUUUUGCU
rnacentral:lncRNA from 1 species